rnacentral:rRNA from 1 species
GACGAACGCUGGCGGCGUGCCUAAUACAUGCAAGUAGAACGCUGAAGUAAGAGCUUGCUCUUACGGAUGAGUUGCGAACGGGUGAGUAACACGUGGGGAACCUACCUUCUAGCGGGGGAUAACACAUAGAAAUGUGUGCUAAUACCGCAUAAUAGUAUUUGAUGCAUAUCAGAUAUUUGAAAGGCGCAAUUGCGUCACUAGAAGAUGGCCCCGCGGUGCAUUAGCUAGUUGGUGAGGUAACGGCUCACCAAGGCAAUGAUGCAUAGCCGACCUGAGAGGGUGAUCGGCCACACUGGGACUGAGACACGGCCCAGACUCCUACGGGAGGCAGCAGUAGGGAAUCUUCGGCAAUGGACGCAAGUCUGACCGAGCAACGCCGCGUGAGUGAAGAAGGUUUUCGGAUCGUAAAACUCUGUUGUAAGAGAAGAACGUUGAUGAGAGUGGAAAGUUCAUCAAGGACGUAUCUACCAGAAGCC